rnacentral:rRNA from 1 species
UAUCCUACGGGAGGCAGCAGUGGGGGAUAUUGCACAAUGGGGGAAACCCUGAUGCAGCGACGCCGCGUGUGGGAAGACGGUCUUCUGGAUUGUAAACCACUGUCCCCAGGGACGAAAAUGACGGUACCUGGGGAGGAAGCUCCGGCUAACUACGUGCCAGCAGCCGCGGUAAUACGUAGGGAGCAAGCGUUAUCCGGAAUUAUUGGGUGUAAAGGGUGCGUAGACGGGACAGCAGGUUAGUUGUGAAAGCCCUCGGCUUAACUGAGGAACUGCAACUAAAACUAUUGUUCUUGAGUGCAGGAGAG